rnacentral:lncRNA from 1 species
UUAGCAAUCAAUUAUUUUUUUCAAAAAAGGAGGGUUGCAGCUAAAGUGCUGCAACCACCAAAACUAUAUUAAACAAGGAAAAGAUACACAAAAUAGAGGGGGGACCAAACCAAAACCCUCUAAAAGGAAAGAAACCCAUAAUUAGGCAUGCCAAGUUUGUUCGUAACAUGUCUGAUAUUAAGACCAAGCCAGUAGGAUGGUUCUCUGAUAUUAAGACCAAGGUCAAUGUUUUCUAACAUGUCUGCACACUCAUUCCCUUCCCUAAAGAUGUGUUUAAUCAAAAAAUUCAUAUUUGUCAAAAGAGCUUGACAAUUCAGCCAUCUAUUCCUUAGAGACAUGACUUGAAAGCGGAGACUGUCAAAGAUGAAUCAGUCUCAAUCCAUAGGUUGGUCCAAUUAUAAUGGCUAGCUAUCACAAUUGCUCUCAAUUGCUCAGCUUGCUGGUUUCUAAAAAUUCCACCAUAGGAAGAAGAUAUGGAUGUUGAAGCCCCAACCGUGUUGCACUUAGUCCAGUUAAGUAUUGGAGGAAGCCAAAGCACUUCUUUAAUUAUAGGUGCUCUAGGAGGAUGUAUCUCAACUCUGAUUUUUUUUUUAAGUCCUUCAUGGAGUUGUAGAAAGUAUGCUUUGUAUUGUUUCCAGCUAAAGCAACAUUUGCCAAUAUCAAAUUGACUGCAUUUUUCCAGCGAACAUUCUUUCCCUUGAAUCUAGCUUGAUUUCUCACAAACCAAAUUGUAUUAAUGAUGUUAAUCAGUGAAGCCUGCAUAAUAACCUUACACUGAGGAGUCCAUUGUCUGUCACAUUUCUUCCAAAUUUCUUCAACUGAGUU